UGAGGAAUAUUGGGCAAUGCCCGCAAGGGUGACCCAGCAACGCCGCGUGGAGGAUGAAUGUCGUAAGAUUGUAAACUCCUGUUAGAGGGGAAGAAUAGUACCGGUUGGACCGGUAUAUGACUGUACCCUCAGGGAAAGCCCCGGCUAACUACGUGCCAGCAGCCGCGGUAAUACGUAGGGGGCAAGCGUUGUCCGGAUUUACUGGGUGUAAAGGGCGCGCAGGCGGGAUAAAAAGUCAGUGGUGAAAUCCUACAGCUUAACUGUAGAACUGCCUUUGAUACUUUUAUUCUUGAGUUCGGGAGAGAGAGACGGAAUUCCAGGUGUAGUGGUGAAAUACGUAGAUAUCUGGAAGAACACCAGUUGCGAAGGCGGUCUCUUGGUCCGACACUGACGCUGAGGCGCGAAAGCGUGGGGAGCAAAC
rnacentral:rRNA from 1 species